rnacentral:rRNA from 1 species
AGAGUUUGAUCCUGGCUCAGGAUGAACGCUAGCGGCAGGCUUAACACAUGCAAGUCGAGGGGUAUAGGUUUUCGGACCUAGAGACCGGCGCACGGGUGCGUAACGCGUAUGCAAUCUACCUUUUACAGAGGGAUAGCCCAGAGAAAUUUGGAUUAAUACCUCAUAGUAUAGCUGAACCGCAUGGUUCUACUAUUAAAGUCACAACGGUAAAAGAUGAGCAUGCGUCCCAUUAGCUUGUUGGUAAGGUAACGGCUUAUCAAGGCUACGAUGGGUAGGGGUCCUGAGAGGGAGAUCCCCCACACUGGUACUGAGACACGGACCAGACUCCUACGGGAGGCAGCAGUGAGGAAUAUUGGUCAAUGGACGCAAGUCUGAACCAGCCAUGCCGCGUGCAGGAUGACGGUCCUAUGGAUUGUAAACUGCUUUUGCACAGGAAGAAACAACUCUACGUGUAGAGUCUUGACGGUACUGUGAGAAUAAGGAUCGGCUAACUCCGUGCCAGCAGCCGCGGUAAUACGGAGGAUCCAAGCGUUAUCCGGAAUCAUUGGGUUUAAAGGGUCCGUAGGCGGUUUAGUAAGUCAGUGGUGAAAGCCCAUCGCUCAACGGUGGAACGGCCAUUGAUACUGCUAGACUUGAAUUAUUAGGAAGUAACUAGAAUAUGUAGUGUAGCGGUGAAAUGCUUAGAGAUUACAUGAAAUACCAAUCGCGAAGGCAGGUUACUACUAAUGGAUUGACGCUGAUGGACGAAAGCGUGGGUAGCGAACAGGAUUAGAUACCCUGGUAGUCCACGCCGUAAACGAUGGAUACUAGCUGUUGGAAGCAAUUUCAGUGGCUAAGCGAAAGUGAUAAGUAUCCCACCUGGGGAGUACGUUCGCAAGAAUGAAACUCAAAGGAAUUGACGGGGGCCCGCACAAGCGGUGGAGCAUGUGGUUUAAUUCGAUGAUACGCGAGGAACCUUACCAAGGCUUAAAUGUAGAUUGACCGGUUUGGAAACAGACUUUUCGCAAGACAAUUUACAAGGUGCUGCAUGGUUGUUGUCAGCUCGUGCCGUGAGGUGUCAGGUUAAGUCCUAUAACGAGCGCAACCCCUGUUGUUAGUUGCCAGCGAGUCAUGUCGGGAACUCUAACAAGACUGCCAGUGUAAACUGUGAGGAAGGUGGGGAUGACGUCAAAUCAUCACGGCCCUUACGCCUUGGGCUACACACGUGCUACAAUGGCCGGUACAGAGAGCAGCCACUGGGCGACCAGGAGCGAAUCUAUAAAACCGGUCACAGUUCGGAUCGGAGUCUGUAACUCGACUCCGUGAAGCUGGAAUCGCUAGUAAUCGGAUAUCAGCCAUGAUCCGGUGAAUACGUUCCCGGGCCUUGUACACACCGCCCGUCAAGCCAUGGAAGCUGGGGGUGCCUGAAGUCGGUGACCGCAAGGAGCUGCCUAGGGUAAAACUGGUAACUAGGGCUAAGUCGUAACAAGGUA